rnacentral:rRNA from 1 species
AAUCAACGCUGGCGGCGUGCCUCAGACAUGCAAGUCGAACGCGAAAGUUCCCUUCGGGGGCGAGUAGAGUGGCGCACGGGUGAGUAACACGUAGGUAAUCUACCUUUGGGUGGGGAAGUAAACAGCCGGAAACGGCUGCUAAUACCGCAUAAUGCAGCGGCUCGACAAUCGAGACAGUUGUUAAAGCGGGGGAGUCGCAAGACCUCGCGCCUAAAGAGGAGCCUGCGGCGGAUUAGCUUGUUGGUGAGGUAAUGGCUCACCAAGGCAUCGAUCCGUAGCCGGCCUGAGAGGGCGGUCGGCCACACUGACACUGACAUACGGGGUCAGACUCCUACGGGAGGCAGCAGUCGGGAAUUUUGGGC